UGAAGCAACAGAGACGAAUUCUUCCUGUCCUGGAACGCAGAGCCCCCAGAGCAAGGCGUCAGCAGGGCGGCCCCCUCCCGAGGACUCUCCUUGGCAUGUAGAUGGCCGUGUGCUCCCUGUGUCCUCACGAAGUCGUCCUUUUGUGUGUGUCUGUGUCCCAAUCUCCUAUAAUAAUGACCCCAGCAGGUUGGAAGAGGGCCCACCUUCUGGCCUCAUUGUAACUUAAUUACAUUUUAGGAAGCCCUAUCCCCACACACAGUCUCAUUCUAAAAUACUAGGGGUUAGAACUUCACCCUAGGACUUCCGGAGGACGCUGCUCAACUCAUAACAGUCUUCCUGCUUGGACAGAUAGACGGACCCUUGGACCACAGAUCCCUGGGCCCUGGGAGCACCUGAGCCUCUUCGUGGUGAGAGACAGCAGCCCAACCUGGGGGCAAGGUGGGAACAGGCCCUUUCCACACCUUGUUUCCGUGGACACGACACAGGCUCGCAUGAAAUCCUCAGGGAAGCCCUUUGCUCAGAAGCAGCACCAUGUCAGGGUACUGAGAACUUGGAUUUUUUUCUUCUUCCAUGUCCUCUCUCCAAAGCACUCCAUCUUGCUCACGCGUGCUCUUCCUCACAGCCAGGUCCUCAGAUCCGAUGAUAGCUGUCACCACUCCCAGCGUGUCAGGGAAGGAGCGAGCAUUACAGGGCCCUGUCUUCUCCAGCCCUCCUGCCUGCCGAUCCACCAGCCUCUGCGGCUGCCUCCAGGGCCGCCCAUCGAUCCUGCCCGCUCUCAUUUUCCAAAUGAUGUCCUGGAGGCUUUUGGCCUUUCCAAGCCAGCUCUGGGCCUCGGGGCAGCCUCCACCAGGGCAGGGAGGGGCAGCUGAGCCGCACACAGGAAGAAGCUGAUGCCCUGUCUCUCCAACCUGCUCCUCGUGUGGCUGGGGAAACAGGCUCUGUGAGGAGCAGGGCUUUCCUUCCCUCUCUCAGGAGCCUGAGUCCUGCUCUCUCAUCUACCUCAAGCUGCUGCACGUCCCGGGCCUGGGUUUGGGGCUGGACUCCACCCACAACCUGCCCUGACCUGCAGGGUGGGAUCCACAGCCGAUGCUCCAUGGCCGCUGCUCCCAUACAUUUAGUCCUAGAAGAAGAGGACCAGGCACUCAUUCAGCACCUGCUGUGCUCCCCUCGCUGCCCACGUUUCACACUUAUUCAGGCUCAUGCUGACCCUGAAAGCUCCAGAGGAGUCAGGCCACUUGCCUAAGGCCACACAGCUCAUAAUGGCCAGGGCAUUGGCUCGGUCAGGAGCCUGGACACUCCUCUUCUAGGACUUCCAACAAGGUGGCUGGUCAGAGGUCUUGGCCCAGGUGCGAUGUGCUGAGAAAGCAGGAAGCCACCUCUGGUGUCUGCUUCUGGGCUUGCAGAGAUGGGCAUAGGUCUGGCCUUCAGGCUGCUGAGGAAUGAACUGGAGGCCACAAGCACAGCAUCUAGGACAAAACUGGAAGGAUGGCCAGGUGGGCUGUGCAGAUCUCCGGGGCUGCUGGGCCAAUGGGACCUGGCUGUCAGAAAGUGGGGCCCAGCCUUUGGAAGGGGGCCUGUCCUGCGGCUGGAUGAAAACACAUGUCGGGGCAGACCGGAGGUCUCAGCUGAUGGGCGAAGGGGGAGCCGGGCUGCUUGAGGACUGUGUAAGCCCUCUCUCUCCCCCUGGGGCUGCCCGAGUCUGGGUGAGCUGCCCACCCUGGCCUGGCUGAGGCCCUUAGUUGUGUGAGUGGCAGAACCUACCUGCAGGGUGGCUGGCAUGGAAAGGGCAGGACGGGCUCCUGGAUCUGAAGCCAGAGGCUGGACAGGUGGCCUGCCCAAGUGGCACAGGGCUACAUGCUGCCCGGUGGGCACAGCCAUGUCAGGUCACUGCCCACACCCCUCCUUCGUGGCACUUGGGGAAGGGCGGCUGCUGGCCAGUCUCCAUCACCAUCCUCCCAGUUAGUAGCACCCCACGGGGCCAGCACUGUUCCCAUCUCAAGGAAACCUGAUUGGGUGAGCUUAUGCCUGGCACCCCUCAGAACAAAUCCCAGGGAGGCUGGGGAGGCAUCAUGGGCCCAGCCUGUGCCAGACACCACCAUGUGUCAGAGCCGGGUGUGAGAGCAGUGCCUGCGGGAGGCCACAGUCCUGGAAAAGAGACAAAAGGAAGGUGAGUUCCCUGUGCCCAGCCCUCCGAGGGACGCUGCCUGCACUGGUUUCUCCUGCACUUGGACCUAUGGGGCAGGAGACUAGAGAUGCCCUGUCUCCUGCCACCUCCCGCCACUGCAGGCCACCAGAAGUCCCCUCACCACCGAGGGCUGGGAGCGGAGCCAGCAGCCCACAGUGGUCUGACCAGGGCAUCCAGGACAGGGCACCUCUCCCCGUG
ensembl:lncRNA